rnacentral:rRNA from 1 species
CAGUAGCCGCGGUAAUACGUAGGUGGCAAGCGUUGUCCGGAAUUAUUGGGCGUAAAGGGCUCGCAGGCGGUUUCUUAAGUCUGAUGUGAAAGCCCCCGGCUCAACCGGGGAGGGUCAUUGGAAACUGGGAAACUUGAGUGCAGAAGAGGAGAGUGGAAUUCCACGUGUAGCGGUGAAAUGCGUAGAGAUGUGGAGGAACACCAGUGGCGAAGGCGACUCUCUGGUCUGUAACUGACGCUGAGGAGCGAAAGCGUGGGGAGCAAACAGGAUUAGAUACCCGUGUAGUCCCUGUCUCUUAUAC